UACGUAGGUGGCAAGCGUUGUCCGGAGUUACUGGGUGUAAAGGGCGUGUAGGCGGGAAGAUAAGUCAGAUGUGAAAUUCCAUGGCUCAACUGUGGCGCUGCAUCUGAAACUAUUUUUCUUGAGUGAUGGAGAGGAAAGUGGAAUUCCUAGUGUAGCGGUGAAAUGCGUAGAUAUUAGGAGGAACACCAGUGGCGAAGGCGACUUUCUGGACAUUAACUGACGCUGAGGCGCGAAAGCGUGGGGAGCAAACAGGAUUAGAUACCCUGGUAGUCCACGCUGUAAACGAUGGAUACUAGGUGUAGGAGGUAUCGACCCCUCCUGUGCCGCAGUUAACACAAUAAGUAUCCCACCUGGGGAGUACGGCCGCAAGGUUG
rnacentral:rRNA from 1 species